rnacentral:lncRNA from 1 species
UUGGGGACAUGCUCUCGAGGUCAUAGCGUAUGUUUUGAAUAAAGUACCAUCCAAAUCUGUCUCUAAUACUCCAUAUAAGAUAUGGAAAGAAAAAUGACUCAGUCUUAAAUAUCUUAAGAUUUAGAGUUGCCCGGCUUAUGUGAAAAAUAUUGAUGGACAUAAACUAAGUGCUAGAUCAGAAAGAUGCAGAUUUGUGGAUUAUCCCAAGGAGAG